GAUGAACGCUGGCGGCGUGCCUAAUACAUGCAAGUCGAACGCACAGCGAAAGGUGCUUGCACCUUUCAAGUGAGUGGCGAACGGGUGAGUAACACGUGGAUAACCUACCUCAAGGUUGGGGAUAACAUUUGGAAACAGAUGCUAAUACCGAAUAAAACUUAGUAUCGCAUGAUACCAGGUUAAAAGGCGCUACGGCGUCACCUAGAGAUGGAUCCGCGGUGCAUUAGUUAGUUGGUGGGUAAAGGCUUACCAAGACAAUGAUGCAUAGCCGAGUUGAGAGACUGAUCGGCCACAUUGGACUGAGACACGGCCCAAACUCCUACGGGAGGCUGCAGUAGGGAAUCUUCCACAAUGGGCGAAAGCCUGAUGGAGCAACGCCGCGUGUGUGAUGAAGGCUUUCGGGUCGUAAA
rnacentral:rRNA from 1 species